rnacentral:rRNA from 1 species
CCGAUGGCGACCGGCGCACGGGUGAGUAACACGUAUCCAACCUGCCUCAUACUCGGGGAUAGCCUUUCGAAAGAAAGAUUAAUAUCCGAUAGCAUAUAUUUCCCGCAUGGGUUUUAUAUUAAAGAAAUUCGGUAUGAGAUGGGGAUGCGUUCCAUUAGUUUGUUGGGGGGGUAACGGCCCAUCAAGACUACGAUGGAUAGGGGUUCUGAGAGGAAGGUCCCCCACAUUGGAACUGAGACACGGUCCAA